CUCAUUCAGUGCCAGACAAUGUACUAGAAAAACUGAAGGAGAAGGUACCCCAGGCUGGAGAGUCUAUGUGUAGACACGAGUCACACGAACUGGGGGGAGACAAUCAAUCGUCUCGUGUACAGAUUGAGUGCAGAAAUUCUGCAAUGGAAAUCCGACCUACAUCUCAGCAAAGACCGAUCAAAAAACCAAAGCAGCAAAGUGACCAACAGAGACCAGAAGUUAAGCAGAGAAAUCGACAUGAGCGACACCAGCAGAUUCCUGAGCAACUGGAAAUACAUCGUCCGCUCAAAUCUGUCAAUCAGAAGCAGCCAGCUGCUGACAAGACUGAUGUUCUCUAUGACUCUGUGAGUGCCACAAAACUCAAAAAAGGUAUGGUUCUCGGCAAAAUGGUGCUCUAGGUCGGCCCCGAGGUGCUCCACGAUGCAGACGGGGCCGGUGCAAAGGUGCCCUUCUGGGUUGCGGGACUCCAGCAGCAGUGGACAGAGGAUGGACUGGCUUUGCUCGUCUUGGUUGUGGCUCGUCACUCUUACGCACCAGCGGUGAACAGCAGAAAAGCUGUAAAAAAAAAAAAGGAAGAAGAAAAAGAAACACACGUGCUUUAUAGGCUUUACAAUAGCCAUACUGAUGCUGUUCCUCUUUGUUUGAUUUGUAGAAAAGCUACAAAGACUUCCACACACCUUUUUUUCACCACGCCUGCAGCUUCCUCACCGAGACCUCGCUCUCUCUAGUCGCCAGCUGGCUCCCGGUGGUCAGAAACGUGCUGGACCAACAAGCCUUCGCCUCCCCCAUCCAUCUGCCUUCAUGCAGUCUAAAUUGUUUCAUCUCCACCGCCUCCGACACAAAGGUUAUUGACGGGACAUUUGGUCUCAGUCCCGGCUUUUACUGGCAGACUAUGUAAGCUCCGGAGCAUGUGUGUCGGGGGAUAGAGACCGAACAAGAGCUGCACACAGAAGUAUCGGUCGCUGUGGGGUGCGAAGCUUUCCUUCUCCAUCCUGUCAUAACACACUACACCCUCCAACUGAUUCUUGAUUCAGGGCUCGAUGUGUGUGGUCUGCGGCUCCUUUAUCCACCACAGGAGUUCCCGAGUGACAGGGCUGGUCCUUUGUCUCUGUCUUCUCCUUGGAUCCUCUGAUGCCCGAAGGCACCGACCCUCUCGAGCCUCCCCCCCCCCCUGUUCUCCUCUCGCCAGGCCAGCCGGGAGCACAGGGAGCCGUGCUCGUGGUUUGCAGGCCGAGUCGGAGGGAAAAGUGCACGACCUCACAACCGGCUCCCGAGCAGGUUUGUUUUCAAAACUUUAAAUUGUGUUAAAAACUAAUCAGAGAAGCGGAAAUGUUUCCGAAUCAGUCCCUCGUCGCCUUCGUUUUGUAGGGUUGUUCCCUCAAAUGAGCGAGGAGGAGUCUUUCUGUCCAACCAAAGCCGACUUACUCCUGGUGGUGUCGCCUGCGGUGCCUCCAUGUUGCUUCGGCCAAGUGCUGGCAGUGUGUGAGCGCAGAGGCUUCCGUGUGGGGGGGGCUGCAGAGGCUGCGGCUUCAGAGCAAUGGCCCCCCGCCGACCUGGGACUCUCCGAGCAGCAGGUAGAACUACAAGCUCAGUCUCAGUAUCUAGAAUAGAAAGAUACAGUUGUACUGAGGUCAGUAAUUGUAAUAAAAUAUUUCUUAUUGUGUACUGUUUGCUUGGAAUGGAAUUUCACUAUUUACCAGAGACACUCGGAUUUUGUUGAUACAAACUCAUUUCUAACAUAACGGAACAUUUAGCCGCAGUUGUGAUCUUGAGGCCAAAUGCACAUCGUGUGCCGAAUGUUACUAUGUUUCUCGUCACAGUUUUGAAGCUUGUGUAUAUUUCGUCUAGGCUCGAGUGUUCUGCAUUCCACACGCUGUGAGCCCGUGUCGGGGUCAGCUGGAGCUGCUCUCUCCAUGUCUGCUGUUGUUACUGAGGAAAGAAAAUGCUGUGCACCACGCUGUUAGUCUGCCGGCAGGUCUGAAUUCCAUCUCAAAUGAUAUUUUAAGCAUAGAGCAUAAAAAAUAAACAUCUGUCCUGCAAAUCCAAUUGAAAUGAACUACAUCUGAUUUUGUUUCUGCUGUAUUUAUGAUUGAAGGUAAGGAAAUAAUAAUGAAAAAAUAAAAGUACUCAAUUCAGCCAGAGGAGAUUAAAUCAUCAAGAGCAACUUUGAUAGAAUAUCCUUGCAAAAGGUUUUUCCUCUCAUCUGUUGACCACCUGUUGUGCAGCGAUUAUGUUUAUAAUCAAAAUGUCCCACCCAGUCAUGAAUGCAGGACAGCAAACGUUCACACUUCCUUCUUAUGGUUUUUUCAAUAAUGUGUUGAGUCAGCAUCACUGUUACUUUGUUGUUCCAGCCCUAAUGAGAGAAUUGAAGACACAAAAGCUUCUGGGUUGCAUCCAGUCCAGAUUUGAUGGGGUUCUAGGGCUGAGCCUCUUGCACGGGCUGCUGACACGGGAGCCAGAAGGUGGGCGAAGUUCAACCGCAGCACGGCUUGUCCUGCCUUUAGAAACUCGAGUUGGCAGAACAAACCAAAUACACAUAGCAGCCCACACAGUUUAAUGAAUGAACAGAGCAGCGAGAUUGCGAGUGAAUUAUUUAUUUAGAAAUCUCUUAGAAACUUAGCACCCUGCUGAUGUUUUAACAAUUGCCAUGCUGAUGGUAGAGGUUGAUGGACAACAUACAGGAUUCGAGCUGCUCGGGCCUGAAGUGGCUGCCGGCGUUGACUCGACUUCAGGCUCAGGAGCUGAAUCCGUACGAAGUUGGGCAGCAGCUCUUUGAAGGCAGCCUGGAGCGUCUGACGAGACGUCUUGCCCUGGUGUGUGCGCUUGAAUGCGUGGACGCUUUGGCUUCGCUGAGGAAACUCUUGCCACAAGAUGACCCCGGUGACCUCAGUGUCCUGAUGUCCCCAACACCCGAAGUGGCUUUCAGACAAGCCUCCGUGUUCUUCUUUGAGCACGAGCUGAUUUCUGAUCCUCAGACGCUGGUCACUUUGUGCCUGUUCAAGCCAACAAUCUGGAAUCACACGUUGGCAAAAAUAGCCCACAAACUGCAGCUGUGUGGCCUAACAAUGGUGGGCCUGCGUGUGUUGACCCUGGAUAACCGCACUGCUACCUCACUACUACCUGCACAAAGUGAGGACCCGUCAGACCCGGAGGCCCAUGUGGAGUACUUGUGCUCCGGCUCCUCAUCUAUGAAGCCCUUUGAAUUACCUUCAACUUACUGUAUGGUGAAAAGGCGUGGUCUCUGUGGAGCGUGAACGGAGCUGCACAGCGGCCCAGGUGGACCAGCGAAGUGCUCCACCUUCAAGGGCACCAGGACGCAACACGGGUCACGACUGCUUGUCUGGGUUUACUUUUUAAUGAGAAGAACAUUCUUUGUAUUGAAAGCUUUCAUUAAGAGACGUGUGUCUCAGCUACUCUGAACACCCGGACUGUUGUCACCACACUCAUCUCACGCUGGUUCAAUCAUUUAUCAGAGACAAAUGGGUACCUUUAGAUAAUUUAAUCAUUUAUUGUGACUUUGGCAGCAACUCCUCCGGAGUGAUGUCGAAAUACGGGUCCGUUUCCAGACGACCUUUGCGAAACCCGCGCUUUGCUUGUUUAUCCGUACCAGAGAUACCGAGUGCUCUCUGGCAGACAACCUUUCUGCUCAUUCCCCGCAAACGCCCCACCGCUGCACCGGCUGCCCUCCCAGCCGGAGCCGCUCGGGCAGCUGCUGAGGUCAGGCUGCCACCUGGCGGCCGGCAGGAUGAGCGUCCUGGACGGCGAGCAGAGCCGAGGCUCUGGAGGGGCCUUCAAGGGCCAAAGAGAGGGUGAGGAUGUUUGGGAAUAAGGCGACGCGAGGUUCAUUCUCUCUCUCUCUCUCUCUCAGUUGAUUUCCCCCUCGUCUCUCGUUUCGUUAAAAAGAUGGCUGGUCUUGGCUCGGCACCGUGUCUCAUGGUGGCGCUGCGAGGUGAAGCGAUCGCGACCGGCUUUGACUCGAUUCUUGAAAGGAUCUACAAGGAGAGCUCAGAACUACAAAAAGUAGGAGACAUGAUCGUCUACCCAGAGUCCCAGAAAGAGGUAUAUUAUAAAUAUAAUCGUUAAAUUUCCCAACCGGCUGCCUCAGGAUUCGUUAUAUUGUCAUGAAGUAUUGUUUUGUUUGGCAACAUGUCACCUUCUAAUCUAACUCCAUCGUGACGUGUUUUCUCCUCCAGGCCAAUCAACUCAUGUGCUACCUAUUUGAUGACUUAUCCUGAGAGACAAGGCAUCAAAUGUGACACCAUUGUGCCAUAAGGUUCAAACGUGCGCACAGAUAUAAGCAGGUCAAAGGUCGUGUCUGCUUUGAAACAUCAAAUGUAUACUUGAACAGAUUUGUUUUAGAUAGUAAAAAUAUUUUAGUAAGUGUAAGGUAAUAAAGUUAAUAAACAAAACCUGCUUCCUCUGGUGUCACCAUUUCAAUACA